rnacentral:tRNA from 2 species
GCGGGCGUGGCGGAAUGGCAGACGCGCUGGACUUAGGAUCCAGUGGGGGCAACCUCGUGGGGGUUCAACUCCCCCCGCCCGCACCA